rnacentral:ncRNA from 1 species
AGAGUAGAGGUCGCGCCUGACAUGAGUAAGCCGGCGGAUGCAGGGGAAACAGGAAACCGGAAGAAAGGGGACGGCGCCGAAGGCCGGUUCCCGGCCCCAUGGGAACUGUGCCUGGGCAUAUGGUGAAGAACCAUGUGACUGUCAUCUUAAGGGAUAAGAUGGAGGGCUACUGA